GCUCCCAUGGCGUAGUGGUCACUGCACUCGCCUUGCACGCGGGAGACCCGGGUUCUAAUCCCGGCGGGGUCG
rnacentral:tRNA from 1 species